rnacentral:rRNA from 1 species
AGAGUUUGAUCAUGGCUCAGAAUCAACGCUGGCGGCGUGCCUAACACAUGCAAGUCGAACGAGAAAGUCCCGCAAGGGAUGAGUAAAGUGGCGGACGGGUGAGUAACACGUAGCCAACCUACCCUCGAGUGGGGGAUAACCUGGGGAAACCCGGGCUAAUACCGCAUACCUCCGAGUUGCACAAGCAGUCCGGAGCAAAG